rnacentral:rRNA from 1 species
GGCGGCGUGGAUAAGACAUGCAAGUCGGACGGGAUUACUUUUGGUAGCAAUACCGAGAGUGAUUCAGUGGCGAACGGGUGCGUAACACGUGGGCAAUCUGCCGAGAAGUGGGGGAUAGCUCGCCGAAAGGCGAAUUAAUACCGCAUGUGAUCAGAGGCGACAUCGCUUCGAAAUCAAAGGUGGCGCAAGCUACCGCUUUUUGAGGAGCCCGCGGCCUAUCAGCUUGUUGGUGAGGUAACGGCUCACCAAGGCGUUGACGGGUAGCUGGUCUGAGAGGACGACCAGUCACACUGGGACUGAGACACGGCCCAGACACCUACGGGUGGCAGCAGUCGAGAAUUUUUCUCAAUGGGGGAAACCCUGAAGGAGCGACGCCGCGUGGAGGAUGAAGGUCUUCGGGUUGUAAACUCCUGUCAUUUGGGAACAAGGCGUACGUAUUAACUGUACGUGCGUUGAUAGUACCAGAAGAGGAAGAGACGGCUAACUCUGUGCCAGCAGCCGCGGUAAUACAGAGGUCUCAAGCGUUGUUCGGAUUCAUUGGGCGUAAAGGGUGCGUAGGUGGCGCGGUAAGUCGGGUGUGAA